rnacentral:rRNA from 1 species
GACGAACGCUGGCGGCGUGCCUAAUACAUGCAAGUUGAGCGCUGAAGGUUGGUACUUGUACCAACUGGAUGAGCAGCGAACGGGUGAGUAACGCGUGGGGAAUCUGCCUUUGAGCGGGGGACAACAUUUGGAAACGAAUGCUAAUACCGCAUAAAAACUUUAAACACAAGUUUUAAGUUUGAAAGAUGCAAUUGCAUCACUCAAAGAUGAUCCCGCGUUGUAUUAGCUAGUUGGUGAGGUAAAGGCUCACCAAGGCGAUGAUACAUAGCCGACCUGAGAGGGUGAUCGGCUACAUUGGGACUGAGACACGGCCCAAACUCCUACGGGAGGCAGCAGUAGGGAAUCUUCGGCAAUGGACGAAAGUCUGACCGAGCAACGCCGCGUGAGGGAAGAAGGGUUUCGGAUCGUAAAACUCUGUUGGUAGAGAAGAACGUUGGUGAGAGUGGAAAGCUCAUCAAGUGACGGUAACUACCCAGAAAGGGACGGCUAACUACGUG